rnacentral:rRNA from 1 species
CCUACGGGAGGCAGCAGUGAGGAAUAUUGGUCAAUGGGCUUACGCCUGAACCAGCCAAGUCGCGUGAGGGAAGACUGCCCUAUGGGUUGUAAACCUCUUUUGUCAGGGAGCAACGCCGGCUACGUGUAGCCGGACUGAGAGUACCUGAAGAAAAAGCAUCGGCUAACUCCGUGCCAGCAGCCGCGGUAAUACGGAGGAUGCGAGCGUUAUCCGGAUUGAUUGGGUUAAAAGGGUGCGUAGGCGGAAUGCCAAGUCAGCGGUAAAAUCGCGGGGCUCAACCUCGCUCCGCCGUUGAAACUGGCGUUCUUGAGUGGGCGAGAAGUAUGCGGAAUGCGUGGUGUAGCGGUGAAAUGCAUAGAUAUCACGCAGAACUCCGAUUGCGAAGGCAGCAUACCGGCGCCCAACUGACGCUGAAGCACGAAAGCGUGGGUAUCGAACAGGAUUAGAUACCCUUGUAGUC